AACGAACGCUGGCGGCAGGCCUAACACAUGCAAGUCGAGCGAGGACUUCGGUCCUAGCGGCGGACGGGUGAGUAACGCGUGGGAACGUGCCCUUUGCUUCGGAAUAGCCCUGGGAAACUGGGAGUAAUACCGGAUGAGCCCUUUGGGGGAAAGAUUUAUCGGCGAAGGAUCGGCCCGCGAUGGAUUAGGUAGUUGGUGGGGUAAUGGCCUACCAAGCCGACGAUCCAUAGCUGGUUUGAGAGGAUGAUCAGCCACACUGGGACUGAGACACGGCCCAGACUCCUACGGGAGGCAGCAGUGGGGAAUCUUAGACAAUGGGGGAAACCCUGAUCUAGCCAUGCCGCGUGAGCGAUGAAGGCCUUAGGGUUGUAAAGCUCUUUCAGCUGGGAAGAUAAUGACGGUACCAGCAGAAGAAGCCCCGGCUAACUCCGU
rnacentral:rRNA from 1 species